rnacentral:rRNA from 1 species
UGGGGAAUAUUGCACAAUGGGCGCAAGCCUGAUGCAGCCAUGCCGCGUGUAUGAAGAAGGCCUUCGGGUUGUAAAGUACUUUCAGCGGGGAGGAAGGGAGUAAAGUUAAUACCUUUGCUCAUUGACGUUACCCGCAGAAGAAGCACCGGCUAACUCCGUGCCAGCAGCCGCGGUAAUACGGAGGGUGCAAGCGUUAAUCGGAAUUACUGGGCGUAAAGCGCACGCAGGCGGUUUGUUAAGUCAGAUGUGAAAUCCCCGGGCUCAACCUGGGAACUGCAUCUGAUACUGGCAAGCUUGAGUCUUGUAGAGGGGGGUAGAAUUCCAUGUGUAGCGAUGAAAUGCGUAGAGAUGUGGAGGAAUACCGGUGGCGAAGGCGGCCCCCUGGACAAAGACUGACGCUCAGGUGCGAAAGCGUGGGGAGCAAACAGG